GACUCGGCUCGGCCCGAGGGGCGGGCGCAGGGGCGGGCCGCCAGAUUCCGGGGCAGGAAGCACGCCCGGCCCGGACUCCCCACCCCUUUCCUCCCGCAUCGGGCAGCCCGCCUCCAUCGGGUCAACCUGGGCCGGCCCUCGCCCGCUGGAGGGGCACCUGGCUUCUUCCUGACACUGUCCUUCUGGGACCUCCGGUGACUGCCUACCAACGCGACCAACACAUCUGUUUGUGGCAGGCCCACCCACCUUGGGACGCUGCGGAAGGUUCCUUUCCUCCAGGGCUCUCUCUCCAGAGGGUGGUGGGAGGGUUGGGCGGUAGGUAGCACGUGUGUGCUCCGGGCUGGUCUGGGGUAGCAGGGAGGUCUCAGCCCCAGGGAGCGGCUGGGCCAGAAAGCCUUCCCGACCAGCCCGCGAACUUGGCUGAGCCCUGGCAUUAGGAAUUGCUAAGAGGACUAGUGGCCCGGGGCAGGAACAGUGAAUCACUGGUUAAACUGGCCCUGAAGGUAUUGAAAGGAAAAAAAGGGAAGUCAGGACAACAGCGGCUGAAUGUAGUAGGGCUUGAAGGCCAACCCGGGCAGUUUGGUUUUAUUCUGGAAGCAGAGGGGAAACAGUGAAGAUUCCUGCGGUGGCUACAAUCAGGCCUGUAUGAUCAAAUAUUUAUUGAGCACCUACCAUGUGCACGCCUGUGUACGUGCUAGUGACACAUGGGUGAAGGAGGCAGAUGCUGGAGUCCGGGCGCGGGGUUUACCGGCUAGCUGUCGCGUCACUCUGGCAGCCAGGGCGAUGAGGUUUUUGAGGCUGACCAGGUGAGAGCUAACAGCCUGACCUAAGGAGCUUUGGAAACCGAUAGGAUGGGAGUGGCAGACACUGGAGGUGUCCCCAAGGCCGGUGGACUGACUCUCCAUACUUAGCUGUCUACCCAGCUUCCUGCACUGCGCUCCCGGCCCCACACGCUCACCCACUAGACUAAACUGGGGUGAGGAUGAAGUUUGAGCGGAAUGAGAUGGGCAGCCCAGCGGCUCCUGGAGCGGUGCUUUGCAUACAGUGACCCAAUGACUGUUUGUCGGACCAGACGGUGUAAAUGCGGACGGAAAGAGGAUUCAGAAGAGACAGUGGUUUGGGAGAAAUAACAUGUUCAUAAAUGGUGGGAUGGAGCCGUGUAGGAGUUUCGUCUUAGAGGUAAGUGGUCAGAGCCAAACUAGAGCUAUGAUCCAGAAAGGAAAUGGCAGGAGAAUUCAAAAGGCUCAAAUUUCUUAGCAUCAUAACACUAAGGCCUCCCGGAUCUGGCCCCAGCCUCCCAUUCUACCUGUUAUUCUCCUGUGCUAGGCUUUAACUGUUCCCCAAGGUUGUCUGCCUCUUUCACACACUCCCACCCCUCCAAGCUUAGUCCCCUGGCUCCAUACAGGGUACACACAGCCCUCCCAGGUAGUAAGCACUCCUCCCCUGCCAGCACCUGCAAUCCUACAGCGAUGCAAUUAUCGCAACCUCCCCGACUCUUAAGUUCCUCUCAGCCAGAGGCACGUGUUAGUCGUCUCUGAAUCUCUUGCACCUGGCCCAGUGGCUGGCUCAUUUGAUCCUUCCUUAUGUUUGUGGAGUGAAUAUCAGAAUAAAUGAGACUGCGAGAAAGGCAAGAGGGCGAGGGACCCAGAGUCAGGCGGGGAGGAUGGUGAGAAUUCAGAAGGCUUUCUACUUCCCGGGGGGUGGCAGUCUCCCUUGAGUCCAUAAUUAUUUGUUGAAAGCCUAAUGUGUUCCAGGUAUACUUUGGGGUCACCCCUGACUCCACAGGCCUGAGUUUACAUCUUCCAGCGAGUACCUGCGUGACCUCCUGCAAGUUGCCGAACCUCUAUAAAACGGGAACAAUGGCGCCUCCCUCGUGGUCGCGAAGAGAGGAGGAGCUGGCCCACGUACAGCGCUCGGCCCUGCUUCAGACAGAGUGGGAGGCAACCACGACGUCAAGAACACACCACUGUCGAUAACCACCCUGGCUGCACACAAUCACCUGGGGAGCUUUUAAAAUAUCAAUGUCUGGCUCUCACCUUCAGAUUGAUUCUAACGGCUGUUUUUAACGGGAAGAGGUUUGGGGGCCCUUCUCCAUCCUCAUUCCCCAGAAGAUAAACCACUGACGUACUUUCUGCAAGGGUUCAGUCUGAAAACCACCAUCCAUGUGAACGCAAACAACUCCAUUCCCAUGAUUAUCUGAGGAUUUACAUGUUUCAGCGGAAAAAUUAAAAGGAACUGGGAUCACAGAAGCAGGAAUGGGAAUGAGGAACGAAUGGACAAAGGCGUGCCUGUGUGUGUAUGAGCAGGUGGGCUAACAGCGGAGCCGCGGAGGGGACAGCAUGGGAGACGCGAGGACUCAGCUAAAAACGAUAGGAACUGAGGGUCUAGGCUAACGGACACCAGGAGUGGCAGGUAGAAAUGGAAGUAGUCUCCCGGGGGCUGCGUUAGGCUUCUCCCUUUCCCAUCCUGUAAAGGACAAAGGACACUUUCUACAUAGUCGCCAGGCAGAGCUGGGGGGAGGGCUGAGUCUGUGAGGACAGGGGAGUGAAGAGAGGGGAGGGGUUGUCAGUUAAUCAUUCUGCAUAUCCUCGGGCCUUCACCAGCCAGCUAGUGUCCUCCACCUAGGGCUGGGGCCUCCGCUGAAGCAACCGGAGCUGGAAAGACAUCCAGCUGACAGAAGGGAGAGACUGCAUGCCAACAUUCAUCACAUCUGUCUGUGGGUAGCCAAUGCCUACACGCUGCGGGUAGCAUUCAGUGUUCACUGAACAGAACUAAAGAAACUCAGGUAGGGGAAGAGGGCUGUGAUAGAACCUGCAGAAAAAGCUGUGGAGAGAGAAAAGGGGAGACUUUUGGUUCAGGGACAAACCAGGGGAGGUGAUCAAGAUGAAGGAAAGAGAGUUAGCCAGAUCUGGAAGAUGAGUUGAGAAAGGCCAAAAGGGGAAGAGAGAAGCGCGGCUUAUUAUUCAAUACUUCCUCCGGCAAGAGUGUGGCCCUAAGAGCUGCUUUCCAUGGUUCAUAUGGUUCACUCCUGUAACUGCUAUUAUCGCCCCUUCAUGGACGGAAAGCACUGAAUCAGAAAGGGUGAUGGAUUUUUCUCAAGGUCACAUGGCAAGUUCCAGGCUGAGGAAAAGUGGGGACAAAGGGAUGGAAGGAGGGAAGCACAGCCCAGGUGCAGGGAAUUGCUACACCUGAUUCUGCUUGGCCAAACUACACGCUGCAUGAGAGGCCUUCGCAGGCAAGAAGGUAAACAAGUUGGUUGGUCCCAAGUCAUGAAGUGGUUUGAAUGAAAGAAUGAGGAGUUUUGUUUGUUUUGGGGCAUCCCUAAGAAUUUUUAAGAAAGGGGUUAGGUAUGAUCCCCCUUGUUCUUCAGAAGGACAAACCUGGGGACAAUAUGGUAUCCCACCAGGAGGAACGGAGAGGAAGGGGAGCCAGCUGGGAGACCAGCUGCAAUGCACAGGUGUGACACACAGAAGGCCUGAGAGGAUAGAGCAGAGAGAGGACACAGAAUUGACAGGAAGGUGGUCAUGCUGGAUAACUCCGGUGGAGCAGAAUGGAGGAAAUGAAUGCAUCUGGGGACAUCUGGAAUGUGAAGUAAGAUAGCACAUUCAGCAGGCAAUCUUAAACACAGUUCUGUAAGUUUAGAAGAACGGACAGGGCUCGAGGAAAAAGGCAAGGAUUCUCUGAAAUCACAUAAAGUGGAGUGUGAGAGCUCCAACACUUUCCCAGCCCCUUGCUUUCAUUUCCUUUAAGGAAUUCCUGCCCCCACUCCAUUGGCCUGUUAAUCAUGGUUGUUCUCCCUGCUUCCCCCAAUCCGAGCUCCUAACAGCCCAGAAUCCAAGCAAGAAUCAGAGUUCCUGCACGAGAUGAGUCCUACUGCUACAGAGUGCAGAAAUAGAGACGGAGAGCCUCAGACAUCCGAGCCCCUGAGCCCACCUGUAGCCAAUCACCACUCAACCCUCCAUCCGAAUAACCCAAAUACAAUCGGGUUCCCCUUUCUUUGUUUUUGGUUAGGCUAGUUUAAUUGUAAUGUGCUAUAAUCAAAACAGUCUAAUAUACCACAAUGCAAUAAAAAAUGAAAUUGCUCAGGAGAGAGUAGGGGAAGAGAAUAGUAGUUAGCAUUUGAGCGCUGACUAUACCUCAAGGGCCUUUUAUGCCCUUCUAAGAAGUCUGGACUUUAGGGGCGCCUGGGUGGGUCCGUCAGUUAAAUGUCUGCCUUCGGCUCAGGUCAUGAUCCUGGGGUCCUGGGAUCAAGUCCCCACAUCGGGCUCCUUGCUCAGCGGGAAGCCUGCUUCUCCCUCUGCCUGCCACUUCCCCCGCUUGUUCUCUUUCUCGCUGUCAAAUAAACAAACUCUUAAAAAAUAAAUUUUUUUAAAAGUUUGGACUUCACCCUGUAGAAAAUUAUGAGCUACUUACAGGUUUCACUUUAAUUUUAAAUACGUUCAGUUGAAGGUACCCUUUUGAGGUCUGGGCUAUAAUCCCAUUUCACAAAGGUGGAAACAGGUUCUUGGAAGUGAGGUAACUUGCCUCAGGCCACACAAUGGAUGUGUCCAGAUGAGGUAUAAUUGAAGAACGGUUGAGUAUACAGGGAAGGAGGAGGUAAAGAUGUGACAGGAGUAGGUGACACUGGAAGGAUGUUAUUCACUAGAUGAACAAGGGGCCUGGAAGCAGGAAAAAGAGAGGUAGACAGUCCAACGAGAGGGCAGAGGCCCUGUCAGCAGUGGAGGUGGGACACAGCGCCCGACUCCCAGGUCCUGGCUCCCGCUGAGAGUACUUCUGUCUUGGUGGCAAGAACCACAGAGCUGCCGUGACACAACAAGGCCUAUGGGACAGAUGGUGAGCGUGAAAAGAGGCAAGCACACGCCCCGAUCUGUGAUGCCCGGGGAACUACAACAGCAGCCCGUGAAGACCUGAGCCCAGACCUGGUAAUCACGGAUGAACGAGGAGGGAACUCAUCACAGCUGCACAGAGAGAUCUGUGUGUGGUGUAAGGCCCCCUUUAGGGACAGAACUGUAGGCUGACUGUGGAACUGAGCCUUCAACUGGUUUGGACAGAAGAUACAGUUUAGGAGGGAGGACAAAGAACAUUUCAGGUGAGGGAGCUUGUCAUUUGGCCUCAAAGCAAAAUGACACAAUUUAAGAGACCAAAGUAGGCUUUUAUGGAACAGUAUGGGCAUCAACUAAGUGGGAGGAAAAAAAAUUCACAGAACUAGAUUCAAAAAUGACGUAUCACACCAGGUAAAAAAUGCUCUGGGGCGCCUGGGUGGCACAGCGGUUAAGCGUCUGCCUUCAGCUCAGGGCGUGAUCCCGGCGUUAUGGGAUCGAGCCCCACAUCAGGCUCCUCCGCUAUGAGCCUGCUUCUUCCUCUCCCACUCCCCCUGCUUGUGUUCCCUCUCUCGCUUGCUGUCUCUAUCUCUGUCGAAUAAAUAAAUAAAAUCUUUAAAAAAAAAAAAAUGCUCUGCCUUCGGUUCUGAAGGGACACCGUGGGGGAUGAGAUGUGCGCAAAGGAUCUCUCAGAAGGCUGAACUCCUGAGGCUAAGCGUGACGUCAGCAUAGACAAGGUGCAGAGGGACUCCUAAAGGGACUGAUCGAUCAUUGGUUUAAGCAACAGCAGAGUUCUAGGCACAAUCCUGAGGAUAGAGAAUAUUUAUCAAGCUUUUAUUGUUAGGCACUAUUCUGAGCGCUUCAUUGUGUAUUAAUCUAUUUAAACAUCAGAGCAACCCUACAAUAUAGCCACUAGUAUCAUCAUCCCCAGGAAUAAGGAAACUGAGGCACAGAGGUAAAUUAACUUUCCUGAGGGGCGCCUCGGUGGCAUAGCGGUUAAGC